rnacentral:tRNA from 1 species
AGGAUUAUAAUUUAUAUAAAAUAUUUGAUUUGCAUUCAAAAAAUAUUGUUUUUAACAAUUUAUCUUA